rnacentral:rRNA from 1 species
UGGGGAAUAUUGCACAAUGGGCGCAAGCCUGAUGCAGCCAUGCCGCGUGUGUGAAGAAGGCCUUCGGGUUGUAAAGCACUUUCAGCGAGGAGGAAGGUGGUGAGCUUAAUACGCUCAUCAAUUGACGUUACUCGCAGAAGAAGCACCGGCUAACUCCGUGCCAGCAGCCGCGGUAAUACGGAGGGUGCAAGCGUUAAUCGGAAUUACUGGGCGUAAAGCGCACGCAGGCGGUUUGUUAAGUCAGAUGUGAAAUCCCCGGGCUCAACCUGGGAACUGCAUUUGAAACUGGCAAGCUGGAGUCUCGUAGAGGGGGGUAGAAUUCCAGGUGUAGCGGUGAAAUGCGUAGAGAUCUGGAGGAAUACCGGUGGCGAAGGCGGCCCCCCUGGACGAAGACUGACGCUCAGGUGCGAAAGCGUGGGGCAGCAAACAGGAUUAGAUACCCUGGUAGUCCACGCUGUAAACGAUGUCGAUUUGGAGGUUGUGCCCUUGAGGCGUGGCUUCCGGAGCUAACGCGUUAAAUCGACCGCC